rfam:Crocosphaera watsonii WH 8501 ctg362, whole genome shotgun sequence.
GGGGCUAUAACUCAGUUGGUAGAGUGUCACAAUGGCAUUGUGAAAGCCAGCGGUUCGAGUCCGCUUAGCUCCA